rnacentral:lncRNA from 1 species
CACCGCUUCGCUCCCCACCCACCUCGACAGUCGGCACGGGGCAUCCGGCCAGGCUCUCCCAGGCGAGAAGAUUGUGGAAGUCUCAUUCUCCAGGCAGAGCAACCAGCCCUCUGGAGGGUGUUCAGGGAAUGGCUUUGCAAGGGGACAGCCCCUAGAGGGAUGUGGAUGGCAGGGAGCGGCAGUGAGAAGCCUCAUUAUGUGCCGCUCUGCCUCGAAGAACAAGCCUCGCGCUGCAACCCCAGCACCCGGGCCCGCGAACAGAGCAUUAAAUUGUUGGAAAUGGCUUCCCUUCACUCGCAGAACAAAGAUGUUUUCUCCAGAAUAAAUUGACUCCCUCUCUGCGUGCUGAGUCCCGGUUUCCCACAAAUGCAGCCUAUGCCCCCGCUCAGCUCGCUGCGGGAGGGAGGGAGCCAUGGGCCUGGGAACGGGGCUCGUGGGGG